ensembl:snRNA U1 U1 spliceosomal RNA
AUACUUACUUGGCAGGGGAGAUACCAUGAUCAUGAAGGUGGUUUUCCUAGGACGAGGCUCAAUCAUUGCACUGCGAGUGUGCUGAGGCCUGCGAUUUCCCCAAAUGGGGGAAACUCGACUGCAUAAUUUAUGGUAGUGGGGUACUGCAUGCACGCUUUCCUCCA